GAUUAACGCUAGCGGCAGGCCUAAUACAUGCAAGUCGAACGGUAACAGGAUAGCAAUAUCGCUGACGAGUGGCGCACGGGUGCUUAACACGUAUGCAACCUACCUAUAACUGGGGAAUAGCUCACCGAAAGGUGAAUUAACACCGCAUAAAAUCACAGAAGGACAUCCUUUAAUGAUUAAAUCUCCGGAGGUUAUAGAUGGGCAUGCGCCCGAUUAGCUAGUUGGCGGGGUAACAGCCCACCAAGGCAACGAUCGGUAGGGGUCUGAGAGGAUGAUCCCCCACACUGGUACUGAGACACGGACCAGACUCCUACGGGAGGCAGCAGUAAGGAAUAUU
rnacentral:rRNA from 1 species